rnacentral:rRNA from 1 species
CUUAAACACAUGCAAGUCGAACGGAGAUAGGAAGAGCUUUGGACUCUUCCCGAAUCUUAGUGGGGAACGGGUGAGUAAACGCGUGAGCAACCUGCCUUUUCAGAGGGGGACAACGUUUGGAAACGAACGCUAAUACCGCAUAAGAUCGUAGGGCCACAUGGUCCAGCGACCAAAGGAGCAAUCCGCUGAAAGAUGGGCUCGCGUCUGAUUAGAUAGUUGGUGGGGUAACGGCCUACCAAGUCGACGAUCAGUAGCCGGACUGAGAGGUUGAACGGCCACAUUGGGACUGAGAUACGGCCCCAGACUCCUACGGGGAGGCAGCAGUGGGGAAUAUUGCACAAUGGGGGAAACCCCUGAUGCAGCAACGCCGCGUGAAGGAUGACGGUUUUUCGGAUUGUAAACUUCUAGUUCUCGUUGACGAAGACAGUUGACGGUAAACGAGGAGCAAGCCACGGCUAACUACGUGCCAGCAGCCGCGGUAA